GACGAACGCUGGCGGCGUGCUUAACACAUGCAAGUCGAACGGAAAGGCCCUGCUUUUGUGGGUUGCUCGAGUGGCGAACGGGGGAGUAACACGUGAGUAACCUGCCCUUGACUUUGGGAUAACUUCAGGAAACUGGGGCUAAUACCGGAUAGGAGCUCCUGCUGCAUGGUGGGGGUUGGAAAGUUUCGGCGGUUGGGGAUGGACUCGCGGCUUAUCAGAGUGUUGGUGGGGUAGUGGCUUACCAAGGCUUUGACGGGUAGCCGGCCUGAGAGGGUGACCGGCCACAUUGGGCCUGAGAUACGGCCCAGACUCCUACGGGAGGCAGCAGUGGGGAAUAUUGCACAAUGGGCCGAAGCCUGAUGCAGCAACGCCGCGUGCGGGAUGACGGCCUUCGGGUUGUAAACCGCUUUCGCCUGUGACGAAGCGUGAGUGACGGUAAUGGGUAAAGAAGCACCGGCUAACUACGUG
rnacentral:rRNA from 1 species